rnacentral:rRNA from 1 species
CGGUUAAGUUAGAAAGGGCGCACGGUGGAUGCCUUGGCACUAGGAGCCGAUGAAGGACGGGRCGAACACCGAUAUGCUUCGGGGAGCUGUAAGCAAGCUUUGAUCCGGAGAUUUCCGAAUGGGGAAACCCACCACUCGUAAUGGAGUGGUAUCCAUAUCUGAAUUCAUAGGAUAUGAGAAGGCAGACCCGGGGAACUGAAACAUCUAAGUACCCGGAGGAAGAGAAAGCAAAUGCGAUUCCCUGAGUAGC